rnacentral:lncRNA from 1 species
GCAUAAUUAAACUACGAAUUAAAGAUAUGUAAAAUAUUUUUUUACAGUGAUCGAAAAAAGAGAAUACUUUUAAGAAGAUAAUCUUUGCAUAACAUCAUAUGUAUGUCUAUGAUUGUGAUAAAUUUGGUACUUCAUUGUUAAACUAUAUAAUACUAACCCUCUUUAUCUCUUUUGCCCUUUCUUUCUCUCACUCCCACUUUCUUUCUCGUUUAUCC